CAAACCAACCAGAACUACCCCAGCCAACAGACCACGAAGGACGCAGCGUCUGAGAGGUCAAGGUCAGCUGUGAUGGGCUUUUCCAGGAGUCCCUCCACCCCCAACCACCCUGGGCAUCAUCACACCAUCAGCCAGCCCGAGGCUCACCCAAUCUGUCGGCCACGGAUCCACGGCAGGAAGAAGACUAGUGUCCCAAAGACAGUCAACUGUGGGUGACACCACUCCAACCACAGCUUCUGGGGAUCAGGCUCCGCUGCCCAGGGUGGAGACGAGUUCUUAGUCAUCAGUGCCCAGGAGUUGUUGUCAAACAGUGUCUCCAAAUGCUCCGACAUGGACAGCUGGGGCCGAGGCAGUGGCAGGCUUGGAGUUCACCCUGAAGAAAGGGUACAGAGAAGGAGAGACAACAGCAAGGGAACUACCAGGUGCUCCUGACCCCGCAAAGAAAGAGAUAAAGUGAGACCUGGAGACCUGAUGGGACUAGAGGCGAGAUGAAGGCAGAAAGAGACCGGGAGGGCUGGUGAGAUGGCUCAGUGUGUAAGAGCACCCGACUGCUCUUCCGAAGGUCCAGAGUUCAAAUCCCAGCAACCACAUGGUGGCUCACAACCAUCUGUAACAAGAUCUGACUCCCUCUUCUGGUGUGUCUGAAGACAGCUACAGUGUACUUACAUAUAAUAAUAAAUAUAUCUUUAAAAAAAAAAGAAAGAGACCAGGAGGAAAGCCAAGCCAAGCCCAGAUGGGCCUUGCUGGCCUAGAUAAUAAAGCAAGUAUGCAGGAGAUUGAGAGGAGGGGGCGCAGGGCUCAGAGAAGGGCUAUGGAUUGGAGGGACACAGGGAGGUUCAUUUUCACAGAAGUGGAGCCGUGACUGCUGGACCUGACAAGGGGCUUCAUGUGAGAUCAGACAGGUAGCACUUUGGUGGGUUAGUGGAAAGAGGGGCUCUGUGAAAGGGGUGGGACUUUACGGAAGAUCGAAAGUGGGGUGCUCCCUGAGGGGGUCCAGCCCACCUGGUAGCCAGCAGUUUGGAGGUGAACCCAUUGGCCUUGAGGAAAAAUAAGAAAGUCCGCUGGCUGUAGUUGUACCCGCAGCUCAGGAUGCCACAGAUGGCCCUGGAAGUGGAGGUGUUGGUGAGGCCACCGCCACCUCAGGUUGAAAGUAGCUUUCAGGGCUUAAGGCCCCACUCACCCCAGGGCCACAAAAAAGAAGAUCUCUGGUAAGUCAAAGGGUAUGUCCACUGGAAAGCUGGUCUUGUAGAUGGAGGUGAUGGUCUCUGAGGAAGGAAGGAAGAAAGUGGGGAUCCUGUGCCAGCCUUCCACACCCAGGCUCAGAAUAACUCGGGCAAGGAUGGGGGUGGCUUCUGACCUAACCCCAAAUUUCCCUGGAAUUCUAGGCACCGCAGUGGCUCUCAACCUAAGAAUUUUGACUUCUUUGGGAAUCACAUAUCAGACACCCUGCGUCUCAGAUAUUUACAUUUUGAUUCAUAACAGUCACCAAGUUACGGGCUGGGGAAAUGCCUCAGCGGUUAAGAGCACUGACUGCUCUUCCAGAGGUCCUGAGUUCAAAUCCCAGCAACCACAUGGUGGCUCACAACCAUCUGUAAUGGGAUCUGAUGCCCUCUUCUAGUGUGUCUGAAGAGUACAAUGUACUCAUAUACAUAAAUAAAUCUUUUUUUUUAAAAAAAAAC
rnacentral:lncRNA from 1 species